rnacentral:rRNA from 1 species
UUCGCAAUGCCCGAAAGGGUGACGAAGCGACGCCGCGUGUGGGAAGAAGGCCUUCGGGUUGUAAACCACUGUCGGGAGUUAAGAAAUGUAAGGGUGUUAAUAGCGCCUUUACUUGACAAAGGCUCCGGAGGAAGCCACGGCUAACUCUGUGCCAGCAGCCGCGGUAAUACAGAGGCGGCAAGCGUUGUUCGGAAUUAUUGGGCGUAAAGAGCACGUAGGCGGCUUUGCAAGUCAGUUGUGAAAGCCUUCCGCUUAACGGAAGAACAGCAGCUGAUACUACAGAGCUUGAGUACGGGAGGGGAGAGUGGAACAUCUGGUGGAGCGGUGAAAUGCGUAGAUAUCAGAAGGAACGCCGGCGGCGAAAGCGACUCUCUGGUCCGUAACUGACGCUGAGUGUGCGAAAGCUAGGGGAGCAAACGGGAUUAGAUACCCCGGUAGUCCUAGCCGUAAACGAUGGGCACUAAGUAGAGGGGUUUU